GGGAGCUUCAAAGUUCCAUACAAAAGAGAAGUCAAAAUACAUUUUAAGUGAAGAGAAACAGCUGCUAAAAGCAUUCUAAUGGACCUAAGUGGCAUUUCAUACUCGACACGCUUAGGAAUCUGGGCAGACUACCAAGUACAUAUGGAAACCUCUGAAAACAAAACAACAUUGGUAAAGUCGUCACCUCCAAUGAAUGCACAUCAAACAAAUGUGUGACACGUGGCUGACGAUCCCGUUCAUCUUCCAAUGAAGAGGUAAGGACAUGAAAUAGUUCAUGAGCAUCCUAUUAAAUAGAGGCAUAAGGGUUACAGGAAGCAAAACAAAAAAGAAACCCAUCCAAACAUACACCAGGAGUGCUGAGAGUCCACUGCACUAUGAAAUUAAAGGGGAAAAUCACUGCUUAGAGCUUAUCUUACGUAUUAAUAGUCAUCAAUUGUGCAUCCAAUUCAAGUUUAGUAACAAGUGUUCUCUAUAAAACUGAAUUUCAUAUAUUUCAUUAUUAAAAACAUUCUGGGCGGGAUAAAUUUAAGAGGCACCAAAAUCAUUGAAGAAAAAAAAUAAAUGCACAAAUGCCUGCUUUCCUGAGUUUCAAUAAAACCCAUCACUGAAA